ensembl:lncRNA
GGGAAAACAUGGUUGGCUGCUUUUAGGAGGACUACCAAGGGUCUAGUGACUGGUUGGAGGACUACCAAGGGUCUAGUGACUGGUUGGCUGCUUUUAGGAGGACUACCAAGGGACUAGUGACUGGUUGGAGGACUACCAAGGGACUAGUGACUGGUUGGCUGCUUUUAGGAGGACUACCAAGGGUCUAGUGACUGGUUGGCUGCUUUUAGGAGGACUACCAAGGGUCUAGUGACUGGUUGGCUGCUUUUAGGAGGACUACCAAGGGACUAGUGACUGGUUGGCUGCUUUUAGGAGGACUACCAAGG